GGAAGGAUCAUUCACACAUCCAAUUUACAUAACGUGAACCAGUUGACAUGUAACAGUGUCAGCUAUAAACAUAUGUUGGGUUACUUAUAAGACUUACCUAAGCUUUAUUAACUAUCAGCGAUGGAUGUCUUGGCUCCCACAACGAUGAAGGCCGCAGCAAAAUGUGAUAAUCAUUGUGAAUUGCAGACUUCUUAGAAUCAAUAGAACGCUGAACGCAUACGGCACUGUACUUGUACAGUAGGCCUGUUUCAGAGUCAAUUUAUAUCUUUCCAAGCCCGUUAAACGGUGAAGAAAGGCAAAGUACUGCUCGUCUCCUUUAUUGGUGGAUUGGCAGUCGCAUUGUUCUAUAGCUACUCGUUUUCAACACAUUCGACUUUAAACUCGCGUUGUUAGGAAUGAGUGUACAGCUGUAGCUUACAACUUAUAUGACCUGAAAUCAGACCAGGCUACCCGCUGGAUUUAAGCAUAUUAUUAAGCGGAGGAAAAGAAAAUAACUAUGAUUCCCCUAGUAGAGGCGAUUGAACAGGGAAGAGCACAAAAUGUAAAUCUCAGCGGCAACGCUGCGAAUUGUAGUCUCAAGUUGCAUUACCAGCUUAGUCGUAAGGUAAAUUCUUCUGGAGUGAAGAACCACAGAGGGUGAGAGUCCCGUAUGUCUUACGAUACUAGGUGCACGGUGUGUACACAAAGAGUCGCGCUCCUUGGGAAUGGAGCGCUAAGUGGGUGGUAAAUGUCAUCCAAUGCUAAAUAUUGGUGGGAGACCGAUAGCGAACAAGUACCGUGAGGGAAAGAUGAAAAGAACUUUGAAAAGAGAGUUAAAAGUGUCUGAAAUUGCUGGUAGGGAAGCGGAUCGUAUUGUCCUUGUUAAGGGAGAUGUAACGUGAGAAAGUGGACUGCUUAUGGAAACCGCAAGGGUCUGUAGGUAGAUAAGCUCAUUGUGUUGCUAUCACUCCUUUAGCUUAGUCUACGUCAGUUGUGACUGCGUGAAAACCCGGGAGGCUUCGGCUGAACGACGGCUCACGCGGAUGCAACUGAAGAGGUGAACGCCUUGUGUAGACAAACCGGUGCGAUCUGACCCGUCUUGAAACACGGACCAAGGAGUCUAACUUUUAUGCGAGUAUGCUGGUAGAACACCAGUGUGCGUAAUGAAAGUGAAAGGAUAGAAAUUUGCAUAUCCGACCGACCAUGUAGGGGUUUACUUCUCGCGGUUUGAGUAAGAGCAUAAAGGUUAGGACCCGAAAGAUGGUGAACUAUGCCUGAAUAGGGUGAAGCCAGGGGAAACUCUGGUGGAGGCUCGUAGCGAUACUGACGUGCAAAUCGUUCGUCAAAUUUGGGUAUAGGGGCGAAAGACUAAUCGAACCAUCUAGUAGCUGGUUCCCUC
rnacentral:misc_RNA from 1 species